GACGAACCGAGCGAACGUUAUUCGGAAUCACUGGGCUUAAAGGGCGCGUAGGCGGGCCGUCAAGUCGAGGGUGAAAAGCCCCCCAGCUCAACUGGGGAAGUGCCUCCGAUACUGGCGGCCUCGAGGGGGGAUAGGGGCGUGCGGAACUUCCGGUGGAGCGGUGAAAUGCGUAGAUAUCGGAAGGAACACCGGUGGCGAAAGCGGCGCGCUGGAUCCCUUCUGACGCUGAGGCGCGAAAGCCAGGGGAGCGAACGGG
rnacentral:rRNA from 1 species